GGCGGCCAUGCUCAAGUGUAGCACCGGCAGAGGCUCGGAAUCGGCUUAGGAUUGGCUUGGGACCGGCUUACGGUUCGAGCUUAUUGGAUUUAAACGGGAACCCGCACGAGAUCGCGGUUAGGCGGCCGUGUUGCACACGCAUGGCUCCCGCAUAAGAUCGAGCACGCACCUGCUCCUGCUCCUGAGUUCGAACCGCUCUUUUCGUUACACUGUUAUUAUUUACGUUCACUGUGUUGCGCAAUAACGCGCGUGGCAUUGAGAUCGGAUUACAAUAUUAUUAUUAUACUG